GUACCCGUAGUUAAAUGGAUAUAACAAUUCUCUCCUAAAGAAUAAUUGUGGGUUCGAUUCCCGCCGGGUGCA
rfam:Clostridium sp. CAG:590 genomic scaffold, scf91